rnacentral:rRNA from 1 species
CUUAGGUUGACCUCGGAUCAGGUAGGGAUACCCGCUGAACUUAAGCA